rnacentral:rRNA from 1 species
UACGUAGGGGGCGAGCGUUGUCCGGAGUUACUGGGCGUAAAGGGCGCGCAGGCGGUCUGGUAAGUUUGGAGUGACAGUGCUCGGCUUAACUGAGCAAGGCCCUUCGAAAACUGUCAGACUUGAGCACUCAAGAGGGACAUAGAAUUCCGGGUGGAGUGGUGAAAUGCGUAGAUAUCCGGAGGAACACCGGUGGCGAAGGCGGGUCUCUGGGCCGUAACUGACGCUGGAGGAGCGAAAGCGUGGGGAGCGAACAGG